rfam:Neotoma lepida isolate 417 scaffold_492, whole genome shotgun sequence.
UGGCUCAGAGGUUAAGAGCACUGGCUGCUCUUCCAGAGGACCUGGGUUCAAUUCCCAG